UGGCCUGGUUCAGUGCUGGGCAGGUGGCUUGUCAGUGAGGGCAUCCCAUGAAUACAUGAGGUGGAAGAAUAGACUCUUUCCUUACUUCCUUUCUUGGGCUGUGACCACCUGUGAGGGCCCCUAAGCCCGAAUAGAAACCCCCAAAAAUUAAGGGACGUAGCACAGAUGGCAAGGGAAUACCCCUAAGUCACUGACAGCUCCUGAGAGGAGCAGUUUAUUUGGAGGCAAAGCUACCUUACUAGCUGUUUCUCGUAAAUGAGAUAUAGUUGUUCUUCAAAACAAUGAAAAAGCUGCUUCCUCUUGGUCUCUCCUAUGAUGCUUCUGUGUCAGACAAGAUGGUAACCUAUAUAAAUCAAAAUUUAUAUAGAUUCCAAACUUCAAAGCAGGUGAUGUUUUGUCUUACCAUGCCAAGAAUGGAACACUUUGGAACCGGAACAUGUCUCCCUGCACAGGAGGAUGCCAAUGAACUCUCUCCUUCAUAACAGUAUCCAGUGUUGAAGUCUUUCUUGUUUGAGCCAGGACAAGAAAAUGCCAACAGUUCCUACAGACCAACUCUUUUUUUAUUUUCUGUGUUCAACAACAAGACAAUAAAUAAUAAACAUCA